rnacentral:tRNA from 2 species
AGGGGUAUAGCCAAGUGGUAAGGCAACGGAUUCUGAUUCCGUCAUUCGUUGGUUCGAGUCCAGCUACCCCUGCCA